CUCUGUCAAACUAAGCGUAAGUGGUUCACAGUCUGUACCACAGCUAAAUUUAAAAGCUGAGAACCCACUCUAUCAACAUUAAACAGCGGCAGUUCCUGUAAGUUUUUAAGGGUUAUUGGAAGAUGACUUUACUUGUCUUCAUACAGUUUCACCUAAAUUAUGUUGGUGCUGUUGCUUUAGGACCUUCAGACCUGGAUGGGGACGUAUGAUAAGGAUCCUGGUUCUCAGGCCUUCUGGUCUGCACUGUAGCUAUACCUCCAGCUUUCCUGUGCUGUCAGUUUGGAGACAGCAGGUCAUGAGACUUCACUGCAUUCAUAAUUAUGUGAGCCAGUUUGUCAUGGUAAAUAUGUAUGUAUGCAUGUAUGUAUCCAUCCAUCCAUCCUGUUGAUUCUGUUUCUCUGGAGAACGCUGAUUAAAACACCUCUCUGCCUUCAGAACCCUUUUUCUUUCCUCUGACGUAUUAAUACUUUGAAUUUUAUAGAGAGAUAUUACAUGAGCAGAUGUGGCAACAUUAUUGAAUAUAAAAUGGUUAAUUUUGCUGCAUCACCCAAUUUUCUUACUCUGAUAAAAACUAUAAUGUAAGAAAUGAGAUAAUAAUUAUAAGUGAUUAUGACAAGUGUAAUAAUAACAUCACUUUUAUGGGGAAAUAAGGAAAAGCAAUAAUUUAUAAUGAAAUAAAAACUAAUGAUCAACAUAAAAAAAAAAAAA
rnacentral:lncRNA from 1 species